rnacentral:rRNA from 1 species
UAGGGAGCGUAGGCGGACGCUUAAGUCAGUUGUGAAAGUUUGCGGCUCAACCGUAAAAUUGCAGUUGAUACUGGGUGUCUUGAGUACAGUAGAGGCAGGCGGAAUUCGUGGUGUAGCGGUGAAAUGCUUAGAUAUCACGAAGAACUCCGAUUGCGAAGGCAGCUUGCUGGACUGUAACUGACGCUGAUGCUCGAAAGUGUGGGUAUCAAACAGA